ensembl:lncRNA
AUCUCUUUCUGGAGAAGGAUCUUUUGUUGGUGAAGCUUUCUUCUGUAAGCCUGGAAUCUUCUGAUACGUCCACAGUGUCCAUGUGUGGUUUGUCAAAGAAUUAUUUAAGAUGUGGUUGAAGGUCAGUCCCCACAAAUCCACUAUCACAUCAAAGUGACUGAUUGCUGUCAAGCUGGCCUGAGGCAAGAUUCAGCAAUGAGCUGCAUCUAUUUAUCACGCUGAAGUGUGUGUGUGUAAAGUGUGGGAAACAGUAUACAUGGAAAAUAAAUAAAAUGUGUAAGGCCUUCAAACUGUAAUAUGAAUUGUUUAAGCAGCCAAGGAAGUACAUUUAACCCUCUGUAUCUUAAUGACUUAAUACAAUCAAGCAUGGAGACUUUCAAAAUGUACAUUAGGAAUUCCAGAAAGACAGAACAUUGAAUAGACAUAAAAAAUGGGCGUAUCCGAUUACUUUCUACAGACCUGGAAAAACAAGUCCUCUUUAGAAAAGGAGGGAGAGAUCUGAUAGGUUAGAUCUUAACACAUUAACACACAGAUAUAACAUUGCUCUUCUGCAUCUUUCAGGCUAGUAUUUUAUUAAUCCAUAUUGCACCACAUAUGGUUUUAAGGUCCAGGCAACAGAAAGUUCUCCAUUCUUGCAGGGUAGAUGCUUCCAUCAGGAGAUUGUAUAGCGUGGCAGUGCUGCACAGUCAAAGCGUUGCUUCAACAGAUAAAACAGAUAGCUCCUCCAUGGACCUGGUGGAUCAGGGAACCAGUAAGCAUGGAGGUUUCUGUGGUAGAAAUAACCUGUGGCAACUCAAGUCAGCCCAGUGAGGUCCCUGGGAGAAGUAGGACAGCAGUAAAAGUGUCCUUGAGUCCCAGCUAUGCUGAGCAGAUCAACUCACCGAGAAAGCAUGAAAUUCUUGCUAUAUAAGCAAAAACAAUACAAGAUUUCUAAAGCAAGCAAUGUUUGUGACUGCCUUUGGUUUAUAGUGCUAGCCAGUUGGAGGUCUUAUAAAAAAAGCAUGUUUUCACAGUGAGCAGUGUCAUUUUCCCACAGAUUCUGCUCCCUUUAGAUCAGUAUAAUUCAGGUACCUUAAAAUUACAGUAAAAAAAAAAUCAUUAGACAAGAUGUAUACUUAUUCUGUAAGUCUGACUCUCUAUUUCUACAAUUAAUAGAUAUGUAUAUAUCUAUAUAUACACAAAUACGUGUGUAUGUUUGUGAGUGUAUUAAAAAUAUUUAUGUAAUUACAGUUGCAAGUAUAACUUUAAAAUACAGUACACAAUGUAAUGUAGAUGUAUGCAUAUAUGUUUUACUCUGUUUUUGCAAUUAAUAUUACUCUCUAACUACGCAAUCAGAAAUGAGAAGAUUGAGACUGUUACUUCAAUUGAUCAAAGAGGGGGGAAAUGUGGUAGUUUAUGUUAUAUAUUAGAGCUUUUGUUGUUCUACAAAUGAACUAGAAUAAUCUCAGCUAUUUAUUCUGCCCAUGAUAUCUGCUAACCGCUUUAAAAGUGAAACAGUAAAAGCUGUUUAAGU